rnacentral:rRNA from 1 species
CGUUACGAGAGAGUUUUGUAGUCCUCGGGCUCAGGAGUGAACGCUGGCGGCGUGCUUAACACAUGCAAGUCGACGAAAGCACUUAAGAACGAUUCUUCGGAUGUAAGUCUUUUGUGACUGAGUGGCGGACGGGUGAGUAACGCGUGGGUAACCUGCCUCACACAGGGGGAUAACAGUUGGAAACGACCGCUAAUACCGCAUAAGCCAACAGGGGCGCAUGCUCUGGUUGGAAAAGAUUUAUCGGUGUGAGAUGGACCCGCGUCUGAUUAGCCAGUUGGCAGGGUAACGGCCUACCAAAGCGACGAUCAGUAGCCGGCCUGAGAGGGUGAACGGCCACAUUGGGACUGAGACACGGCCCAAACUCCUACGGGAGGCAGCAGUGGGGAAUAUUGCACAAUGGGGGGAACCCUGAUGCAGCGACGCCGCGUGAGUGAAGAAGUAUUUCGGUAUGUAAAGCUCUAUCAGCAGGGAAGAAAAUGACGGUACCUGACCAAGAAGCCCCGGCUAACUACGUG